rnacentral:rRNA from 1 species
CUUUCAACAACGGAUCUCUUGGUUCUGGCAUCGAUGAAGAACGCAGCGAAAUGCGAUAAGUAAUGUGAAUUGCAGAAUUCAGUGAAUCAUCGAAUCUUUGAACGCACAUUGCGCCCCCUGGUAUUCCGGGGGGCAUGCCUGUUCGAGCGUCAUUACA